UCUCACAGGUGAAAAAAGGUCAAGAUGCUCCAGUUUAUGUCAUCAACCUUCUUGCCUCUGAUGUCAUUCAGCUCUGCUGCAGAAUCCCACUAAAUCUAGUUAAUCCUAGUGGAUCCACUGAUAUUUUCAUGACCAUUUCAUAUUAUGCUUUUAUUGUCAGCGUCGGAUUCAUGGUGUGUAUCUCCUGUGAAAGGUAUCUGGUUGUUGCGAAGCCACUGUGGUACAGAUUCAGGAGAAACAUCAAGACAUAUGUGGUGGUCAGCAUUGUGGUCUGGAUACUUCCUGCCGUUUUUGCGUUACUUACUUAUCUGAUCAAUAACUUUUUGAUUGGCUUAA